rnacentral:lncRNA from 1 species
UUCUCUUGGAUCUCUCUUUUGAAUUUUUCUAGGUCUCAAGAUUUUAUGUGAUUUUCUGCAUGAAAAAUUAGAUUAGAUCUGAUUUUCAUCAUGAAAAAUAAAAAAAAAAGUUCUUCUUAAGGGCAUGAAAGGAAGAGAGAAAGGUUCUCUCUUUUGCAUGGAAAAUUGAGAAGAAAGAUUUUUUCUCUUGAUCUCUAUUGUAGAGAUUAGAUGCAUGGAUUCAGAAAGAAAGGGAGAGGGUCUCCUUAUUCUUCAUUUCCAUCAUAUUCCUCUCAAAUCAGCCAAUGGAUGAUGUCUUCAUGAGCUAGCACUCUCGGAG